UACGGAGGGGGCUAGCGUUGUUCGGAAUUACUGGGCGUAAAGCGCACGUAGGCGGCUUUGCAAGUUAGAGGUGAAAGCCCGGGGCUCAACUCCGGAAUUGCCUUUAAAACUGCAUCGCUAGAAUAUGGCAGAGGGGGGUAGAAUUCCACGUGUAGCAGUGAAAUGCGCAGAUAUCGGGAGGAACACCGGUGGCGAAGGCGGUUCUCUGGGCCUUACCUGACGCUGAGGAGCGAAAGCGUGGGGAGCGAACAGG
rnacentral:rRNA from 1 species